AGAAACUAACUAACCCUUAGUUUCAUAUUAGAGCGACAUGCCUAUUGGGUGCUUCAAAACACCAACGGGUCGGGUACUCACCAAAGAAGAGCAAAAGAAAAAGAGAGAAAUGGAACAGAUCAAGAGAUUGGAAAAGAUAGCAGCCGAUAAGAGAGCAAGCGAUGCAAGGAGAAUCAAGAUUCGGGCUCUCCAAAGGGAAAUUAAAACUGGCAAAAGUGAUACACACGCAGAGAGGUACGAUUGAGGAUAUGAACCUGCACCACAACAUAAGUAUGUGAGUUGUCUUGUACCGGUCACUAGAUUUUUAGAAAUAAAAAAGAUACAUUAAUACAUCAACAAAAUUAUAUCAUUAUAUACUAAAAAGAUUAAAGACAACACAAUAUUUCUAAAUCAGAAUUAA